rnacentral:rRNA from 1 species
GACGAACGCUGGCGGCGUGCUUAACACAUGCAAGUCGAACGAAGAGCGAUGGACGCUUGCUUCUAUCAAUCUUAGUGGCGCACGGGUGAGUAACGCGUAAUCAACCUGCCCUUCAGAGGGGGACAACAGUUGGAAACGACUGCUAAUACCGCAUACGAUCCAAUCUCGGCAUCGAGGAUGGAUGAAAGGUGGCCUCUAUUUAUAAGCUAUCACUGAAGGAGGGGAUUGCGUCUGAUUAGCUAGUUGGAGGGGUAACGGCCCACCAAGGCGAUGAUCAGUAGCCGGUCUGAGAGGAUGAACGGCCACAUUGGGACUGAGACACGGCCCAGACUCCUACGGGAGGCAGCAGUGGGGAAUCUUCCGCAAUAGACGAAAGUCUGACGGAGCAACGCCGCGUGAGUGAUGACGGCCUUCGGGUUGUAAAGCUCUGUUAAUCGGGACGAAAGGUCCUCUUGCGAAUAGUUAGAGGAAUUGACGGUACCGGAAUAGAAAGCCACGGCUAACUACGUG